rnacentral:rRNA from 1 species
GUGUCAGCAGCCGCGGUAAGACAGAGGGUGCAAACGUUGCUCGGAAUCACUGGGCGUAAAGGGCGUGUAGGCGGGAAGGAAAGUCAGAUGUGAAAUCCCUGGGCUCAACCCAGGAACUGCAUUUGAAACUCCCUUUCUUGAGUACCGGAGAGGAAAGUGGAAUUCCUGGUGUAGAGGUGAAAUUCGUAGAUAUCAGGAGGAACACCAGUGGCGAAGGCGGCUUUCUGGACGGUAACUGACGCUGAGACGCGAAAGCGUGGGGAGCAAACAGGAUUAGAUACCCUGGUAGUCC